rnacentral:lncRNA from 1 species
UAUACGGAUAUAUACUUUUACACGAAAUAUAAGUAUAUGAUUAAUAUAUACAUUAUUAUUUUUUUUAAACUGAACAUAAAUAUAUUUUAAAUCCACUUUUAUGUAUAAGUAUAUAGUUUAACAUAUAUAAAUGGGCAAAUCUCAAAAAUAGCACCUUUCUAAGUUUAUAUCACAAAAAUAGCACUCAAAAACUAAAAUGACCAAAAUAGAACCUUUCUAAGUUUAUCCUUUGAA